rnacentral:rRNA from 1 species
CAACUCCAAACCCCAAUGUGAU